GACGGAGAGCUGGGAGUGUUAGCAACGUUUAGGAGUCUAGAGGUACGAUGCUAGACUCAGUUUCAAGGAGUUCGUGGUUAUCAGAGACAUAUUUUUUUCAACAUUUUUCAUUUUUUUGUUUUUGCUGUUGGAAUGCUUUUACUUCAAAUUAGUUUUAUUCAAGUGUUGUACAUGCUUUGACAACAAAAAUGGAAAAACAUCUAUUUGAAUUAUUUUACGUAUUUCUGAAAGAGAUAUCGACAAAUGAGUCAAAUCCCUAAAUAGUUAUAGUGUAGUUAAUUAACUACUUUCAUUAGAGAAGUAACUAAAACCAAACUAAAGUGCAAAGAUAUAACACCCGUUGACUUCUAAGUGGAAGAUGAAGACCUCCAAACAAAGUCAUACAAAAAUUGCAAUUUCAAUUAAUUAUUACAAAUUUCUGUAUUAGAUCAUUAAUUUCAAUCUUCA
rnacentral:lncRNA from 1 species